GAUAAACGCUGGCGGCGUGCAUGAGACAUGCAAGUCGAACGGACGAUCGAGGCUUGCUUCGAUCGUUAGUGGCGGACGGCUGAGUAACGCGUAGGUGACCUGCCCCGAAGUGGGGAAUAACUGCCCGAAAGGGUGGCUAAUACCGCAUGUGGUGGUGUGUUCAAUCACACCAGUAAAGCCGCAAGGCGCUUCGGGAGGGGCCUGCGUCCGAUUAGCUAGUUGGUGAGGAAUGGCUCACCAAGGCUUCGAUCUGUAGCUGGUCUGAGAGGACGGCCAGCCACACUGGCACUGACACACGGGCCAGACUCCUACGGGAGGCAGCAGUGGGGAAUUUUGGGCAAUGGGCGCAAGCCUGACCCAGCAACGCCGCGUGAGGGAGGAAAUCCUUCGGGAUGUAAACCUCACAAGCAAGGGAAGAGAGCUCCGGACCGAAUAAGUUCGGAGUCCGAC
rnacentral:rRNA from 1 species